UAUAAAUGAGUCAUCCCGCAAUGUUUGUCAUUAUACCCUGAUGAAGACAGUUUGUCUGUCGAAACGUUGGACAUAAAUAUUUUUGCAUCGGAGCUCCACGUGUUUGCGGCUCUCCUUUAUAUUUUAAAGCGUUCCACUCCGCUUGCCAGCACCUCGCUAUAUAGGUGUGUUUCUUUCGCCUCUAGAUUAGUCUAUUACCCAGUAAACAGCACCCUACCGACAAAAAGCUCUACAACGAUGCCGAAUUAUAAUUAUUUUCCUGACACUGGUCAAAGACCUAAACAAUAUUACUUUGAAUAUAGCCGAAGGGAACGUGAUAAGAUAAUUGUAUCGGAGUCCCUUUUUGACAUGCCAGGGGUAAUUAUGACCUCUCGAAAGAACUGUUACAUUUAUCAAAGUGCCAGACGAGAAUGCAUCAACAAAUAGUCACUCUUAGUGAUUACGUGUGUCAAGGCAUUAUUCCACGGGGACUCAGGUGAAAAAUAACCAUCAUUGGGACAGCGCAACGAUUUGUGAGCGCUGGUGUGCCAUCCUGAACAAAUGUUCUAUUGAUUUAAUGACAUUAAUUGUUGACCAGUUGAAAAAUGAUUAUUAUUGAAAUGUAUAACACGAUUGAAGAGAAACGCACAGCUCUGCAAGGAGCUGUUAAUGUUGAUGGCAUAUUCAAUGAACUGAUAAACUGAUAAACUAACCAAGCGCUCCAGGACAAGCUGUCUCAGAAAUUAAGGAACUUAAAAUCAAGAAAUUCAAUCAAGACAAAAAAGACAAGGCAGAGGACAAAGUCUACUUCUGGAGAAACUCUGACAAACGAGGUCCUGCUCCUCCUCUCCAUGACAGACGCAGGACGGAUGCCGCUUACUUCUGUCCACCCCCGUCUGACCAACGCUCUACAAUUUACGCUUCCAGUGGCAGUUUUUCAUCCAACGAGAGACUGUGCGGACGGAAGGGCGGAGGUGGUCGCGGACACGCGCACCGACGAGAUGCCGCACCCGACCGGUUUUGCCAAGACAUCAUUGCAAUGAUCUGUCUCUGCCCUUCCUGGUGCCGCAAAGUGCUGCUCUACUUCAAGCAUGCUGGGUAUUCUGCACCUCAUUUCUCCAAUUGUUCAUCCUGACCUAUAUCUUCAUUGAGAUGUACAACACCGAGCUGCACUAUGGUGCCUACGUGUAUCCUGCUGGGGCAAGGAUCCCCAUGUGGGCCAUCAGCAAAUAGUCUGGGACACAGACAUCCGUAUCGUCCGCCCCAUUUUCUGUCUGUCAUCACCCAGGCCAUGUAACACUGCUAUAGUAAUUGCUCUAAGGCAGGUGUAGAGAACCUUUUUGCCAUCAAGGGCCAUUUGGAUAUUUAUACAUUUAUUCUGGGGCCAUAUUAUUAACGUGCUAUUUUCUGCUUUAUUCAUGUUUUUAUUCAUGAUGUAGUUGCAUACAAUUAAAUCACUUUGAUCAAGACUGAGAAUGAAUAAAAAAAAAUUCACUAAUGCGGUUAAGCGCUUUUUCGAGCCAACCAUGGCUGUCGCUCCAUCUGUAUUAAGGUAACUUAAUUUUUCAAAAUGUAGCUCAAAUUUGCUCAUAGCCGAGACAAGUCCUCACCUCUGGUGCAAUGCAUGGCUUCCAAAGACAGUAAUUCUUCCCUUGUGUCAAACUCCUCUAAUACCACGCACAAAUUGGGCAUUAUUUGGUGUCAGUCGUUUCAUCACAUGCCAAAGAGAAACUCAAUUUCUUGUGAAGUUCUCCAAUGUUUUGUGCCAUGUCAGUCAUCCGCUCCGUGACGAUUUUUCGAGAUAAACUGACACUUUGGAACAAUUUAACUUUGUCUGGUGCUAGGAACGCUGCAGUGGCAAGGAGACACUCUUACAAAUUCUCCUUCCGAAUGAGGCUUCAGUUUCUUUGCGAUAAGCUCGCGCACCACAACUUGCUUGCAUAACCUCAUUUGGAUGGGGAAAUGUUUUGUAAAGUCUGCUUGUUGGGUACCAAAACCCCGCUGAAGAGCAAUGACUUUAUCCACAAAAAGUUGUCCUUGCAACUCAUUCAGUUUAGAAUGUUUCGAGCUAUAAUGAUGCUCCAAAUCUGCCUUUUUCAUUACUGCAAGUGCAUCCCCACAAACUAGGCAUACAGGUUUGCCUUUCUAUAUUAAUUUGUCUUGGAAAACAUUACACUCUGCAUUGACUUGUCUUCUACUGUAGCCAUUUUUCUGAUGUACAGGUGCUCGAUGAUGAGCUGUCUGGUAGCGCCAAGGCCUUGGGGGAGGUGGAUGGAUUUGUAAAAAUUAAUUUGUGUAAAAACAAUGUCUAGAGCUUUUUUUUAAAUAUAAAUGUAUUUAUGAAUUGGCUCGAUGGCCUGAUCAAACGGUAUUGAAGGCCGUAUAAGGCCCGGAGGCCGGAUGUCCUAAGGGGACAAAAAGCUGUAUUGAAAUGGCUUGAAUACUGGAGCCACACUAAGAACACAUGAAACCCUUGAAAGUUUAAAGGCUGCCAGUGUGCAAAUCAUGUAGGACAGGAGUCACAAAUUACAUUCAGCCGUGGGCCGAUAUUUCCUCGAGCGGAUGGUUGGGAGGCCAGAACAUUAGUUAAUUUGUACACUGCAAAUUGACUGCAGUAAUACCAAACAAAGUAUUUGACAAUGGUUCGGGAUGAGUUGGACCGCAGAGUGAAGGAAAAGCAGCCAACCAGUGCUCAGAAUAUGUGGGAACUCCUUCAAGACUGUUGGAUCAUUCCAGCUGAACUGUCAUCAAACCAAAGGGUAUCUACUUUGAAGAACCUCAAAUAUAAAAUUUUGAUUUAACACUUUUUGGUUACUACACAAUUGUGUUAUUUCAUAGUUUUGAUAUCUUCACUAUUCUACAAUUGUAGAAAAUAGUGAAAAUAACUCUUGAAUGAGUAGGUGUCCAACCUUUUGACUGGUACUGUAUGCGUUUUUGCUCAGAAUAAUCACUCGUCGACCGCCUAUUGUGAAACCCUGGGUUUACAUCAGUAAGGAAAAUAUACAAAGUCAAAUCCCAUUCAUUAUAAAAAUCUAAUCUCUUUCUCUCUC